AGUGGGAAUCGGGGGAAGUGAGGUGCCCAGGAAGCCACCAUCCAUGCCAGACGUCAGACAGAAUGUGGCAGGUCCCACAGGGCAGGCGUUUGCCUUCUCUUUCUGUGGCUCAAGAACGCAGAACCGCAGCUGUCUCGGGAGGCUGCGCCGUGGUUUGGGACGGGGCUGCGUCACCUCAGAGCUCGGUGGGAGGCUCCCCUGGGGCAGGCGGCCCUAGGGAGAGCCCGGAGACAGGCUGCCCCUUCUCAGAACCAGUCUUGAAAGUGCUGCCCUCUGAACUUUGUUGCAUCGUGUCUGCUUGGAGAAAUGUUGGCCCACAUUGUCCUUAUCUGGUCUUUUCAAGCAUUAAACUUAAUUUCAUAAGAACCAUCCAUCCAUGUUUGUGGUCAUUCCAUCCGGUCCU